rnacentral:rRNA from 1 species
GAUGAACGCUAGCUACAGGCUUAACACAUGCAAGUCGAGGGGCAUCAGGAAGAAAGCUUGCUUUCUUUGCUGGCGACCGGCGCACGGGUGAGUAACACGUAUCCAACCUGCCCUUUACUCGGGGCUAGCCUUUCGAAAGAAAGAUUAAUACCCGAUGGGAUAAUGAUUCCGCAUGGUUUGAUUAUUAAAGGAUUCCGGUAAAGGAUGGGGAUGCGUUCCAUUAGGUUGUUGGUGAGGUAACGGCUCACCAAGCCUUCGAUGGAUAGGGGUUCUGAGAGGAAGGGCCCCCACAUUGGAACUGAGACACGGUCCAAACUCCUACGGGAGGCAGCAGUGAGGAAUAUUGGUCAAUGGGCGCGAGCCUGAACCAGCCAAGUAGCGUGAAGGAUGACUGCCCUAUGGGUUGUAAACUUCUUUUAUAUUAGAAUAAAGUGCAGUAUGUAUACUGUUUUGUAUGUAUAAUAUGAAUAAGGAUCGGCUAACUCCGUGCCAGCCGCCGCAGUAA